ACAUGAAGGUUAUCUGUCUGUGACAUCUGCUACCCCAUUGAUUGCUAGGGUUGAUUCAGCUGAUCUGGUUGGCUAGGUGGGUGUUCCCUUCCUCCCUCACUGCUUCAUGUGUGUCUCUCCCAACUUCCUUGGAAUAGAAAUGGACAGACAGAUCUUUGGUUGAGGGUAGUUGAGCUCCCCUGCUAGAGCCUUCCCAAGAAGCUCACAUCUUCCCAAAAAAGGUGCUCACUUACCACCAAUUCUCACCCAUGACCU
rnacentral:snRNA from 1 species